GAAACCAACAGGGAUUGCCUUAGUAACUGCGAGUGAAGCGGCAAGAGCUCAAAUUUGAAAUCUGGCACCUUCGGUGUCCGAGUUGUAAUUUGUAGAAGCAUCUUUUGGAUUGGUCCUUGCAUAUGUUCCUUGGAACAGGACAUCAUAGAGGGUGAGAAUCCCGUUCAUGGUGGGGAAUCCAAUUCUUUGUAAAGUGCUUUCGAAGAGUCGAGUUGUUUGGGAAUGCAGCUCUAAGUGGGUGGUAAAUUCCAUCUAAAGCUAAAUAUUGGCGAGAGACCGAUAGCGAACAAGUACAGUGAUGGAAAGAUGAAAAGAACUCCGAAAGGAGAGUGAAAAAGGACGUGAAAUUGUUGAAAGGGAAGUGCUUGAGAUCAGUCUUAAGGUUUAGUGAUCAGUCUUCCUUUUGGUUGGUGCACUCACUAUUUCUUAGGCCAACAUCAGUUUUCGCGGCAGGAUAAUGACAUUGGAAUGUGGCUCUUUCGGGAGUGUUAUAGCCUUUGUUGAUACUGCCUGCUUAGACUGAGGACCGCGCUUUUGCUAGGAUGUUGGCAUAAUGAUCUUAAGCAGCCCGUCUUGAAACACGGACCAAGGAGUCUAACAACUAUGCGAGUGUUGGUUGU
rnacentral:rRNA from 1 species